rnacentral:rRNA from 1 species
CAGCCGCCGCGGUAAUACAGAGGGUGCGAGCGUUAAUCGGAUUUACUGGGCGUAAAGCGCGCGUAGGUGGUUUGUUAAGUUGGAUGUGAAAUCCCCGGGCUCAACCUGGGAACUGCAUCCAAAACUGGCAAGCUAGAGUAUGGUAGAGGGUGGUGGAAUUUCCUGUGUAGCGGUGAAAUGCGUAGAUAUAGGAAGGAACACCAGUGGCGAAGGCGACCACCUGGACUGAUACUGACACUGAGGUGCGAAAGCGUGGGGAGCAAACAGGAUUAGAUACCCCCGUAGUCCCUGUCUCUUAUAC